rnacentral:rRNA from 1 species
GUAGAUUGGCUGAGGAGUUUGUAAAAAAUCCAAAGUUAAGCAUGCUUGGGUGAGAGUAAUACUAGGAUGGGUGACCUCCUGGGAAGUCUCACCAAAUCUAUC